AUAAACCCUCAUCGAAGAUAGCGGGUAAAGGAGAGCUGACCCAGCACGUCCGUUCAGCUGUAAUGACCGAGACGUGACUGUGAGAUGAUUGGUAACUGUUUCUACCUGUACAAUUUAUAUAUCAUUAGUUAGAAAGCUCAGGUGAAUUUCUCUGUGGUCAGAAUUAUCUGUGUUCUCAUUGGUUAAUUGGGACAUACCUCCAUAUUUGAAAUGGGUAUUGUUUGAGAAAAAUGGAGAAUUUAUAUUUACUCUAGUUUGUGCCAUUUCUAUAUUGUUUGAAACGGAAUGAUAUUUCAUUGAUAGUCAAUUGCAGUAUUUUGGACAUAUGGAAUUUAGUAUAUUCACUUUAUAAGAUGAAGAAUCAGAAGAUGAAGAAACUGAGGAAUCUAAUGAACAAGAUUGUGACAAGGGAAAUAACUCAAAUCAGAAUGGAGAUAUGGGACAUAACUCAAAUCAGAAUGGGGAUAUGGGACAUAACUCUGAGGAAAAUUGUGAUACUGAAGUCAAGUCAGAAAAAAGUGAAAAACAUAAUGAUAAUAAGAGAAAAGGUUAUAGAAGUAAUAAACAGCACGCUUUUGUUGAUGAAAAACAGUUUCAGAUAUCAGAAAAUACAAAUGGAAGCUAGUCAUUAAUUUAUAUACGUGUAGUUUGUGUUUAACUUUUUUAAUGUAUUUUAUAAUUUUUCAUUCAUACAAAUAAAUUUUAUUGUGUCAGUAAUUA